UACAGAGACUGCAAGCGUUAUUCGGAUUCACUGGGCGUAAAGGGUGCGCAGGCGGCCGAGUGUGUGAGGCGUGAAAGCCCGGGGCUUAACCCCGGAAUUGCACCUCAAACUACGCGGCUAGAGCAUUGGAGAGGGUAGCAGAAUUCACGGUGUAGCAGUGAAAUGCGUAGAUAUCGUGAGGAAUACCAGAGGCGAAGGCGGAUCUCUGGACAAAUCCUGACGCUGAGGCGCGAAGGCUAGGGGAGCAAACGGG
rnacentral:rRNA from 1 species